AUUGAACGCUGGCGGCAGGCCUAACACAUGCAAGUCGAGCGAGCGGCGGACGGGUGAGUAAUGUAUGGGGACUGCCCGAUAGAGGGGGAUAACUACUGGAAACGGUAGCUAAUACCGCAUACUAUCGGAUAACCCAUAUGGGAUUUGCUAGUAGGUUAGGUAAUGGCUCACCUAGGCGACGAUCCCUAGCUGGUCUGAGAGGAUGAUCAGCCACACGGGGACUGAGACACGGACCAGACUCCUACGGAGGCAGCAGUGGGGAAUAGUGCACAAUGGGCGCAAGCCGGAUGCAGCCAUGCGGCGUGUAUGAAGAAGGCCCUAGGGUUGUAAAGUACUUUAAGUCGGGAGGCGGUAGAGAAAGAAGAAGCACCGGCUAACUCCGUGCCAGCAGCCGCGGUAAUAG
rnacentral:rRNA from 1 species